GCUUGCUUCAGCAACACAUAUACUUUAAUUGGAACAAUACAGAGAAGAUUAUCAUGACCCCUGUGCAAAGAUGACAUGCAAAUUUGUGAAGUAUUUCAUAUUUUU
ensembl:snRNA U6 U6 spliceosomal RNA